rnacentral:rRNA from 1 species
AUUGAACGCUGGCGGCAUGCCUUACACAUGCAAGUCGAACGAAGUCUUCGGACUUAGUGGCGGACGGGUGAGUAACACGUGGGAACGUACCUUUUGGUUCGGAACAACUCAGGGAAACUUGAGCUAAUACCGGAUAAGCCCUUAGGGGGAAAGAUUUAUCGCCGAAAGAGCGGCCCGCGUUAGAUUAGCUAGUUGGUGAGGUAAAGGCUCACCAAGGCUACGAUCUAUAGCUGGUCUGAGAGGAUGAUCAGCCACACUGGGACUGAGACACGGCCCAGACUCCUACGGGAGGCAGCAGUGGGGAAUCUUGCGCAAUGGGCGAAAGCCUGACGCAGCCAUGCCGCGUGAAUGAUGAAGGUCUUAGGAUUGUAAAAUUCUUUUACCAGGGACGAUAAUGACGGUACCUGGAGAAAAAGCCCCGGCUAACUUCGUGCCAGCCGCCGCCGUAACAC